UACAGAGGGUGCAAGCGUUAAUCGGAAUUACUGGGCGUAAAGCGUGCGUAGACGGUUAUGUAAGUCGGGUGUGAAAGCCCCGGGCUCAACCUGGGAAUUGCAUUCGAGACUGCAUAGCUAGGGUGCGGAAGAGGGAAGCGGAAUUUCCGGUGUAGCGGUGAAAUGCGUAGAUAUCGGAAGGAACACCAGUGGCGAAAGCGGCUUCCUGGUCCAGCACCGACGUUCAGGCACGAAAGCGUGGGGAGCAAACAGG
rnacentral:rRNA from 1 species